UGAAUGAGCCCACCAGGAGAUCCGUCUAAAUCCCCGGAUUAGAUGUGACAUUUAGGAGUCCCUCUCUAGUCAUUCCUGCAGGAAAUUACGGGCAGGCGAUGGUAAAACAUAUUUAGAGUUGUAUACAUUUUAGACAAGAUGUACGCAAUCGCGACCUUAUCUGAUUAUCCGGUCUCUUCCAAUCCCGUUCUCCCUCUGUAGCAGGAAGAGUCAUUACAUGAAGGUCAAAGUGGGUACGCAGAAGAUGAAGGUUCAGCACUCCGAGAGCAACGCGUGGAUCAUAAUUGGUUUUUGUUAAAGAGUAAGUAGGAGGGCAAACCUGUUGUGCUAAGCCGCGACUGAGCUAAAUUUAGCUGCUCCCACCGGCCACGGAAACACGAGAAACACACGUGACAACCGGCCCAGAUAAAUUUAGAUGGCGGUUCAGAGAAGCUAUAGUGACGGAGCGUCACCAGAUGUGUGAACAGCAGGCGUUUUACAGGAGACGUGUGUCCAGGAAGCUGUCCGAGGAGCCUGUCCACCUUGACAUUGUUUGAAGGGAUCAUAAAGCACACCCACUUCCAAAUAACCUCUGAUGAGACGGGAAAACAAGUCUGAUACAGCGAAGAGGCGGCACAGCACGAUACUGCUGGAUCAAAGAUCUGUGCUGACAGAGCUGACACCUGAAGGCUCGGUGCCACCCGGAGGUGCUGGAGAACACGGCGCAAGAUGGACCGGUGUCACUGGGGCAGAGGCUUGCGGUGGACCAGAGGAUCCCUUCGGUCAUUAAUCAUCGGACUGGACAGCCACAGACAAGCUUCUCUGGGCUGGACAGGUCUGUGCAACUGGAUCGCAACCUGUCCUUGACCUUAUCUGUGCUUCUUUCAGUUUCACUAUAGAGACUUCUUUCUUAUUUAAGAUUACCAAUUGUAAUUUUUUAAUAUUCAACACGUCUUUGUAGAUAAAUUAUAUUUUGCUUCAUUGAUUAAAUAACAUGAUCUCUGACCUAAGGCAGCCUUUCCAUUUCUCCUUUCGGUUUAUCAUCUCCUCCCUGCUAGUGAGGGAGGAUUGUUUCAUACUGGGGUGAUAACAUUACAUCACUAAAACGUACCACAGUGGUAAAUUAAACUAUUUAAUUUAAGCAAAAGAUGGCAAGCUUAUCAGUUUAAUUUGACUCUACUUUCAAACUUCUUGUGACUUUGUCUCAUGUUGGUUUCCUGAUGCUUUGGUUCAACGAAAGUCGGUAAGAAAAGAUGUCAAUUAAAAUUCCUGGGAAAAAAAGUA